rnacentral:rRNA from 1 species
UACGUAGGGUGCAAGCGUUGUCCGGAAUUAUUGGGCGUAAAGAGCUCGUAGGCGGUUUGUCGCGUCUGCUGUGAAAACUCGGGGCUUAACCCCGGGCCUGCAGUGGGUACGGGCAGACUAGAGUGCGGUAGGGGAGACUGGAAUUCCUGGUGUAGCGGUGAAAUGCGCAGAUAUCAGAAGGAACACCGGUGGCGAAGGCGGUUCUCUGGGAAUGUUCUGACGCUGAGGAGCGAAAGUGUGGGGAGCGAACAGG